rnacentral:rRNA from 1 species
AAAUUGAAGAGUUUGAUCAUGGCUCAGAUUGAACGCUGGCGGCAGGCCUAACACAUGCAAGUCGAACGGUAGCACAGAGAGCUUGCUCUCGGGUGACGAGUGGCGGACGGGUGAGUAAUGUCUGGGAAACUGCCCGAUGGAGGGGGAUAACUACUGGAAACGGUAGCUAAUACCGCAUAACGUCGCAAGACCAAAGUGGGGGACCUUCGGGCCUCACACCAUCGGAUGUGCCCAGAUGGGAUUAGCUAGUAGGUGGGGUAACGGCUCACCUAGGCGACGAUCCCUAGCUGGUCUGAGAGGAUGACCAGCCACACUGGAACUGAGACACGGUCCAGACUCCUACGGGAGGCAGCAGUGGGGAAUAUUGCACAAUGGGCGCAAGCCUGAUGCAGCCAUGCCGCGUGUAUGAAGAAGGCCUUCGGGUUGUAAAGUACUUUCAGCGAGGAGGAAGGCGUUGUGGUUAAU